CUGCUGAGUAAUGAUGAGUAGACAUGAUGUUACCAUCCACCCAUCAGUGCCCUCAGUGUGCCAUCUCCUCCCUCCUGCAGGUCCAGGAUCCAGCUGUUUCUCCAAUGAGCACUUUUAAGCACCUACUAUGUGCUCUGCACUAGGAUCACUGCAAUGCUCUGUGGGGCAUGGCACAAACAGGCCAGCCUGCCCUAGGAGGUUCCAAGCACCCUGGAGGGCAGCACAGGGAGCCCAAGAGUUGCCCUGCUUCCCUCCCAGGUCCUGGGGUGGAGAGAAUUCACUUGGAAAGCUGCCAGCAUGUAACAGGCCUCGUGGCAAGAGACAGAAGCCCCAGAAGCACAAAAACCACGGAUCAGAAGAAAAAGAACUACUGCAUUUCAUCGCUUGUAAGAUACACAUUUUUUGGUAUUACAUUUUGUUAUCUCUGAAAUCUGGGUGCAUCUUACAACGGAUGGCAGGUCAGUUUAUUUGGCAGCUGUUUUCCUUUCUUAGAGGAGCUAAAGUAAAGGUGCCUCUUCAAAUGAGUGGCAUGUCAGAUUCAAUGAAAUAUAGGAUGACUUAUGGAG
rnacentral:lncRNA from 10 species